AUGCAGACAGGGGAUGAAGUUGAUAAAGGAUGUUUACACGAGGAGAAUAACGUCAAGAGAGAAGUACAAUGACUUCCUUGAGACAGCAUUAGAAGAGUUAGAGAAAGAAGGAAGCUCAGUGAACGAAGAUGUGGUUGUAAGCCUCAUCUUCACUCUUUAAAGGAAGCUCAGUGAACGAAGAUGUGGUUGUAAGCCUCAUCUUUACUCUUUCCGGUAUCACUCAAGAUACCACCUCUAAGGCCAUUUGCAUGGUUGUGAAAUUCAUAUCGGAAAACCCAAAAGUUCUUGUAGAGUUGAAGG
rnacentral:lncRNA from 1 species